rnacentral:rRNA from 1 species
GACGAACGCUGGCGGCGUGCUUAACACAUGCAAGUCGAACGAAGAGCGAUGGAAGCUUGCUUCUAUCAAUCUUAGUGGCGCACGGGUGAGUAACGCGUAAUCAACCUGCCCUUCAGAGGGGGACAACAGUUGGAAACGACUGCUAAUACCGCAUACGAUCUAACCUCGGCAUCGAGGAUAGAUGAAAGGUGGCCUCUACAUGUAAGCUAUCACUGAAGGAGGGGAUUGCGUCUGAUUAGCUAGUUGGAGGGGUAACGGCCCACCAAGGCGAUGAUCAGUAGCCGGUCUGAGAGGAUGAACGGCCACAUUGGGACUGAGACACGGCCCAGACUCCUACGGGAGGCAGCAGUGGGGAAUCUUCCGCAAUGGACGAAAGUCUGACGGAGCAACGCCGCGUGAGUGAUGACGGCCUUCGGGUUGUAAAGCUCUGUUAAUCGGGACGAAAGGCCUUCUUGCGAAUAGUGAGAAGGAUUGACGGUACCGGAAGAGAAAGCCACGGCUAACUACGUG